ACGCUGGCGGCGUGCCUAACACAUGCAAGUCGAACGGAGAUUACGGACGGAAGUUUUCGGAUGGAAGACUGUAAUUCUUAGUGGCGGACGGGUGAGUAACGCGUGGGCAACCUGCCCUAUACAGGGGGAUAGCAGCUGGAAACGGCUGGUAAGACCGCAUAAGUCGGCGAGACCGCAUGGUUUUGCCGGGAAAUGAGCAAUCAGGUAUAGGAUGGGCCCGCGUCCGAUUAGCCAGUUGGCAGGGUAAAAGCCUACCAAAGCAACGAUCGGUAGCCGGACUGAGAGGUCGGACGGCCACAUUGGGACUGAGACACGGCCCAAACUCCUACGGGAGGCAGCAGUGGGGGAUAUUGCACAAUGGAGGAAACUCUGAUGCAGCGACGCCGCGUGAGUGAAGAAGUAUUUCGGUAUGUAAAGCUCUAUCAGCAGGGAAGAUGAUGACGGUACCUGACUAAGAAGCCCCGGCUAACUACGUGCCAGCAGCCGCGGUAAUACGUAGGGGGCAAGCGUUAUCCGGAUUUACUGGGUGUAAAGGGAGCGCAGGCGGUUUGGCAAGUUGAGAGUGGAAGCAGGGGGCUCAACCCCCUGACUGCUCCAAAAACUGUUAAACUUGAGUAUGGGAGAGGCAGGCGGAAUUCCUAGUGUAGCGGUGAAAUGCUUAGAUAUUAGGAAGAACACCGGUGGCGAAGGCGGCCUGCUGGACCAAAACUGACGCUGAGGCUCGAAAGCGUGGGUAGCAAACAGGAUUAGAUACCCUGGUAGUCCACGCUGUAAACGAUGAAUACUAGGUGCUGGGAGGCAUAAGCCUUUCGGUGCCGUCGCAAACGCAUUAAGUAUUCUACCUGGGGAGUACGUUCGCAAGAAUGAAACUCAAAGGAAUUGACGGGGACCCGCACAAGCGGUGGAGCAUGUGGUUGAA
rnacentral:rRNA from 1 species